GCUCAGUGGCCAUGGCUCACGGGCCCAGCUGCUCUGCGGCAUGUGGGAUCUUCCCGGACCAGAACACGAACCCGUGUCCCCUGCAUCGGCAGGCGGACUCUCAACCACUGUGCCACCAGGGAAGCCCAUGUACUAUUAUUAUUAUUGUCUCUUACUCUGGGUUCCAGACCUGACUCUCUCCAAGAGGUCCUGAGGGAAGAUGACCAUCUCUCUGGGGAUCAGUGUGUCAGGGCCCAUGCAGCCUCCCCCAGCUCUGUAUUCAGCCAGAUGUGGCUCUGUACACACAGCAGAUGAGGCAGGCUGGGAGGGCCGGGACCGGACGGGACUACCCAUCGGGCUGGGGAAGGUGCUGGUAGGAUGGCCUCAGCUGCAGCUGCUGGGCAGCCGUCCAGGGUGACAGGCAGAACGCAGCGUGCAAGGGUGUGGAAACAGACAAUAGUCUGCAGCUGGGGAGGUGGGUGAGUGGUGGAUCUUCUAGCAUUUGGUAACAGGGUAUCUCUACCAGCAGGUGGGCCACAGAAGCGGAGCCUGAAAUCUAAGCAGGCAGGCAGCCUCAGGAGAGUCUGUCAGCAGAUCCCAGCAAAGGCUAUAUCUGGUGGGGAGAGGCCAGAGAGAACAGAGCAAGGCCCCAGGCCUCGAAGGACAGACAGGCAACCAAAACAAAGCUGCAGGCCUAGGACACAGGGAGAAGUGGCAUUGCUAGGACUCGGCCUCAAACCCAACCCGCAGGGUGGGAGAAGGCCUGCAUGGGCUGAUAGUAGGACAGGUCCUGAUGUGAGCCAGCCUGACCCCUGAUCCCUGGCCAGAGCCAGGCUGAUCGCCAGGGUAGUAGGUGCAGGCCUGAGACUGUGAUGUCCCCACGAUGUGGGUGCAGGAGAGGGAAGUUGGAAGUCAUUACAGGGUAACUCCGAUCUCUGUCUCUCUAUCACACACACACACACACACACACACACACUCUCUCUCUCUCUCUCUCUCUCUCUCUCUCUCUCUAGCUACUACUCCAGUUUUCCCGGUUCUUGCCCUUUUGACUACUUUUUCUCCCCCAAAUCCUGCCUGCUGAUAAAGAACCAAAAUAGGUUGAUCAACUUUUUUUUUAAUGAAAAGUCCAGUCAGUCCAUCAGGGCCUAAGAGCUUCUCUGAUAGUCACCUGGCAAGUGACUUGCCACUAGGCCCCUGCUCUGUUCCCCAAUGGAAGGAGCAGGCUGCAGCAGUGAACAGGGAGCUGGACCCAAUUAAGGAAGGACGGUGGGGGUCCCCGUAGCCCCUGACUUGGGUUCAGCUCUUGCUUGUCUCUUUUUUAGGCUCAGAUAACGCCUCCAUAAACUCUGCUCCAGACUCAUGUCUUGCCAAUGACCCUGAAGACUUUGUCUUGGAGACUAAGUGAUCUUGGGAGCCAGGUUCAAGGUUCAUCUGUGGCAGACCCACAUCCUUACAGACGUGGAAACUGCACCCGUACUCAUCUGUAUGGUCUGCAAGUUCUCCACAGGCAGGAGUUCCAGCUGCAGAGCACAGAGUCCAGCCCAGGUCCCCCCUCCUACCAUGCUGCACAAAUCCUUCACAAUGGGUCCUGCGGGGGACCAGCUAUCUGAUUUGCCAAGGCCCAGUGCAAAAUGAAAAUACAGCGCUCCUUGUUAAAAUUAUUAAAAAUUUCAAGAUGA